AUGAAGAGUGACCACUCUAUGAAUCAUCCUGUUAGCUUUAAAGAUGGACGCCCCUCCAGAGAGGAGAGAAGAGUCCAGCAGGAGAGAGCAGACUCCCCUGGACCCAGCUGUGUCUCCAUGAAGAGUGACCACUCCAUGAAUCAUCCUGUUAGCUUUAAAGAUGGACGCCCCUCCAGAGAGGAGAGCUUGUCACUUCAUGAUCAAGAAGCCGUGCCUGGGAUACAAUCAGUACCCACCCACCCAUAA
rnacentral:lncRNA from 1 species